AACUUGUUUGGGAUCAAAGGCUUCGUAANUAUGAAACCCAUUUGGGCGAGAGUAGUACUAGGAUGGGUGACCUCCUGGGAAGUCCUCGUGAAAGGGUUU
rfam:Triticum aestivum genome assembly, contig: Triticum_aestivum_CS42_TGACv1_scaffold_222108_3B